CAGAGACCUCAAGCGUUAUCCGGAUUUAUUGGGCGUAAAGCGCAGGUAAGCGGCCAUGUUAGUCAGAUGUCAAAGGCCCGGGCUCAACCCGGGAAAGGCAUUUGAAACGGCAUGGCUCGAGAGUGUGAGAGAUCGGUGGAAUUCAUGGUGUAGUAGUGAAAUGCAUUGAUAUCAUGAGGAACACCCAAGGCGAAGGCAACCGAUUGGCACAUUUCUGACGCCGAGCUGCGAAAGCGUGGGUAGCGAAUGGGAUUAGAUACCCCAGUAGUCCACGCCCUAAACGAUGUCUACUAGGUCGUGGGGAGAAUCGACCCUCUCUGUGCCGAAGCUAACGCAUUAAGUAGACCGCCUGGGAAGUACGAGCGCAAGCUUA
rnacentral:rRNA from 1 species